rnacentral:ncRNA from 1 species
GAUCAGUCGGUUUCGGAGCGUGCACACUGGUACCCGAAAGAUGGUGAACUAUGCUUGAGCAGAAUGAAGCCAGAGGAAACUCUGGUGGAAGUUCGUAGCGGUGUUGACGUGCAAAUCACUCGUCUGACUUGAGUGUAGGGGCGAAAGACUAAUCGAACCAUCUAGUUGCUGGUUCCUUCCGAAGUUUCC